GUUUCUUCCUUUGACUUGGAGAAGAUAAAUAACUGCGGUGAUGAGUGGCCUGAGGAUUUGAGAUCACUGCUAUCAACCUGCUAACAACACCCAAGUAGAUCUACAGCAGUCAUGUUUCAGCCCAAGAGUGACUGAAGUAAAGGCAGUGUCUCUCAUUGAGAUGAAUAGCACCAGGAUCCCAGAACCCUGUAACCACUAUAGAAGCCCAAGAUGAAAGACU